rnacentral:rRNA from 1 species
CGCGUAGGUGGCCAAUUAAGUCAAAUGUGAAAUCCCCGAGCUUAACUUGGGAAUUGCAUUCGAUACUGGUUGGCUAGAGUAUGGGAGAGGAUGGUAGAAUUCCAGGUGUAGCGGUGAAAUGCGUAGAGAUCUGGAGGUAUACCGAUGGCGAAGGCAGCCAUCUGGCCUAAUACUGACACUGAGGUGCGAAAGCGUGGGGAGCGAACAGGAUUAGAUACCCGAGUA